rnacentral:rRNA from 1 species
GGGUUGUGAGGUUAAGCGAACAAGCGUACACGGUGGAUGCCCUGGCAGUCAGAGGCGAUGAAGGACGUGCUAAUCUGCGAAAAGCGCCGGUAAGGUGAUAUGAACCGUUAUAACCGGCGAUGUCCGAAUGGGGAAACCCGGUGCACUUCGGUGCAUCAUCGUUAGCUGAAUACAUAGGCUAACGAGGCGAACCGGGGGAACUGAAACAUCUAAGUACCCCGAGGAAAAGAAAUCAACCGAGAUUCCCCCAGUAGCGGCGAGCGAACGGGGAACAGCCCAGAGCCUGAAUCAGCUUGUGUGUCAGUGGAACGGUCUGGAAAGGCCGGCGAUACAGGGUGACAGCCCCGUACACGAAGGCACACAGGCUGUGAGCUCGAUGAGUAGGGCGGGACACGUGAUAUCCUGUCUGAAGAUGGGGGGACCAUCCUCCAAGGCUAAAUACUCCUGACUGACCGAUAGUGAACCAGUACCGUGAGGGAAAGGCGAAAAGAACCCCGGCGAGGGGAGUGAAACAGAACCUGAAACCGUGUACGUACAAGCAGUGGGAGCCUUCGUAAGAGGGUGACUGCGUACCUUUUGUAUAAUGGGUCAGCGACUUAUAUUCUGUAGCAAGGUUAACCGUAUAGGGGAGCCGAAGGGAAACCGAGUCUUAACCGGGCGUUAAGUUGCAGGGUAUAGACCCGAAACCCGGUGAUCUAGCCAUGGGCAGGUUGAAGGUUGGGUAACACUAACUGGAGGACCGAACCGACUAAUGUUGAAAAAUUAGCGGAUGACCUGUGGCUGGGGGUGAAAGGCCAAUCAAACCGGGAGAUAGCUGGUUCUCCCCGAAAGCUAUUUAGGUAGCGCCUCGUGAAUUCAUCUCCGGGGGUAGAGCACUGUUUCGGCUAGGGGGCCAUCCCGGCUUACCAACCCGAUGCAAACUGCGAAUACCGGAGAAUGUUAUCACGGGAGACACACGGCGGGUGCUAACGUCCGUCGUGAAGAGGGAAACAACCCAGACCGCCAGCUAAGGUCCCAAAGUCAUGGUUAAGUGGGAAACGAUGUGGGAAGGCCCAGACAGCCAGGAUGUUGGCUUAGAAGCAGCCAUCAUUUAAAGAAAGCGUAAUAGCUCACUGGUCGAGUCGGCCUGCGCGGAAGAUGUAACGGGGCUAAACCAUGCACCGAAGCUGCGGCAGCGACACUAUGUGUUGUUGGGUAGGGGAGCGUUCUGUAAGCCUGUGAAGGUGUGCUGUGAGGCAUGCUGGAGGUAUCAGAAGUGCGAAUGCUGACAUAAGUAACGAUAAAGCGGGUGAAAAGCCCGCUCGCCGGAAGACCAAGGGUUCCUGUCCAACGUUAAUCGGGGCAGGGUGAGUCGACCCCUAAGGCGAGGCCGAAAGGCGUAGUCGAUGGGAAACAGGUUAAUAUUCCUGUACUUGGUGUUACUGCGAAGGGGGGACGGAGAAGGCUAUGUCGGCCGGGCGACGGUUGUCCCGGUUUAAGCGUGUAGGCUGACUUUCCAGGCAAAUCCGGAAGGUUAAGGCUGAGGCGUGAUGACGAGGCACCACGGUGCUGAAGUGACAAAUGCCCUGCUUCCAGGAAAAGCCUCUAAGCAUCAGGUAACAUUAAAUCGUACCCCAAACCGACACAGGUGGUCAGGUAGAGAAUACCAAGGCGCUUGAGAGAACUCGGGUGAAGGAACUAGGCAAAAUGGUGCCGUAACUUCGGGAGAAGGCACGCUGACAUGUAGGUGAAGCCCCUGCGGGUGGAGCUGAAGUCAGUCGAAGAUACCAGCUGGCUGCAACUGUUUAUUAAAAACACAGCACUGUGCAAACACGAAAGUGGACGUAUACGGUGUGACGCCUGCCCGGUGCCGGAAGGUUAAUUGAUGGGGUUAUCGCAAGAGAAGCUCCUGAUCGAAGCCCCGGUAAACGGCGGCCGUAACUAUAACGGUCCUAAGGUAGCGAAAUUCCUUGUCGGGUAAGUUCCGACCUGCACGAAUGGCGUAAUGAUGGCCAGGCUGUCUCCACCCGAGACUCAGUGAAAUUGAACUCGCUGUGAAGAUGCAGUGUACCCGCGGCAAGACGGAAAGACCCCGUGAACCUUUACUACAGCUUGACACUGAACAUUGAGCCUUGAUGUGUAGGAUAGGUGGGAGGCUUUGAAGCGUGGACGCCAGUCUGCGUGGAGCCGACCUUGAAAUACCACCCUUUAAUGUUUGAUGUUCUAACCUGGCGCCGUGAUCCGGCGUGGGGACAGUGUCUGGUGGGUAGUUUGACUGGGGCGGUCUCCUCCCAAAGUGUAACGGAGGAGCACGAAGGUCAGCUAAUCCUGGUCGGACAUCAGGAGGUUAGUGCAAUGGCAUAAGCUGGCUUGACUGCGAGAGUGACGGCUCGAGCAGGUGCGAAAGCAGGUCAUAGUGAUCCGGUGGUUCUGUAUGGAAGGGCCAUCGCUCAACGGAUAAAAGGUACUCCGGGGAUAACAGGCUGAUACCGCCCAAGAGUUCAUAUCGACGGCGGUGUUUGGCACCUCGAUGUCGGCUCAUCACAUCCUGGGGCUGAAGUAGGUCCCAAGGGUAUGGCUGUUCGCCAUUUAAAGUGGUACGCGAGCUGGGUUUAGAACGUCGUGAGACAGUUCGGUCCCUAUCUGCCGUGGGCGCUGGAGAAUUGAGGGGGGCUGCUCCCAGUACGAGAGGACCGGAGUGGACGCAUCACUGGUGUUCGGGUUGUCAUGCCAAUGGCACUGCCCGGUAGCUAAAUGCGGAAGAGAUAAGUGCUGAAAGCAUCUAAGCACGAAACUUGCCCCGAGAUGAGUUCUCCCUGAGACUGUAAGUCUCCUGAAGGAACGUUGAAGACGACGACGUUGAUAGGCCGGGUGUGUAAGCGCAGCGAUGCGUUGAGCUAACCGGUACUAAUGAACCGUGAGGCUUAACCUUACAACGCCAAAGAAGU